UCAUCAUGCCCUUUAUGUCCUGGGCUACACACGUGCUACAAUGGUUGGUACAGAGGGCAGCUAUAUAGUGAUAUAAUGCAAAACUCUAAAGCCAAUCCCAGUUCGGAUUGUAGGCUGCAACUCGCCUACAUGAAGUCGGAGUUGCUAGUAAUCGCGGAUCAGAAUGUCGCGGUGAAUGCGUUCCCGGGUCUUGUACACACCGCCCGUCACACCAUGGGAGUUGAUAAUACCCGAAGCCUGUGACCUAAACGAGGAGCAGUCGAAGGUAGGAUUGAUGACUGGGGUGAAGUCGUAACAAGGUAGCCGUAUCGGAA
rnacentral:rRNA from 1 species